GAAGAGGACACGACCGAAACGGCGGGCUGUGCGCGCCGGGGAAGUUGCUCUAGUAGUUGGAACCACACUCAUUGAGUUAUUGGUAUAGGAGCAGGGAGCGCGGAAGAGGACACGACCGAAACGUCUUAGGCAAUGAUUAGCAUCAUAAGUUUUCUUUUUAAAAGUUCCAACAAACAGCAAACAAAAUCGUAUCAAGGCACCAAUUCUUUAGACAGAAUAAGCAAAAGGGAAAGCACUA
rnacentral:lncRNA from 1 species